UUAUUUUUGUUCUAUGCUUUUAAUUUAAAUGCUUUUAUUAUCUUACUAAAAUCCCUACUUUUAUUGAUUUCCAAAUAUUUUCCACUCAUCCAUUGCUUUUAAAUCAAAACAUAAUUAACUAAUGUAAUUUAUUAUAUACAAAAUCGACAAUGGAAUUAUUUAAUAACAACUAUUGAUCGGAAAUCUUAUAGAAACAAAAUAUUAUGAAUCCCUGACAUAACGAUCGGGAAUAUGCCAAGAAAUAUUCUCAAUUAACCAAAUCCAUGACAAAAGAUUUCUUUUUGUUAUUAUUCAAACAACGCAAACACAAUACAUUACACCUUAUACUAUUAUGACUAUCUUACAUAAUAUUAAAUUACAAAUAUCCCUUAUGUUACAACUUACAAGAGUAAAUAACAAGAGAUCGACAUAGUUUAACUUAGUGUCUAUCAUAUUAUAUAACUAACUUUACUUCCUCAUGGUCAAUACUAAGGAGUUCACCUAUUCAUUUAAACUAAUGUCAAAAUCUCUCACAUACCUGGAUUAUGUAUGCAGCAUUUGUCCGUCUCCUCACAACUGUCAAUCUACAAAAUUGUGAUACAAUUCAAUCUGAUUAGUUUAUGAAAUAACAUAUGUUAUUUGUAACAUUUAUCACAAAUUUAGCAAUAUACAAUGAAUCCUAAACCAGAAGUAAACCCUAUACCUUAAAAGAAAAUCAAAGUAUCCCUAAAUCGAGUAUUUAUAUUUUUACAUUAUAUUUGAAUUUUGUAAAAAAAGUAUCCCAAGAUUUUUAAAACACGCAACUAUAAUAUAUUUCUGUUUUAACAUAUCUGAACCAUCAGAAUCUACUUCUGAAAAUGACCUUCGGUGCUCUAAAUCUUUUUGUUAGUUAACCCAUUUUUACUUCAAAAUUUGAAUAUUUAUAUUAUAUCCGAAUAUUUUUAAAAUCAAUAAUCAAGAUUUUAUAGAAAUUAUUUAUUUUCUUAACUUAUUAUACAAGAUUCUUAUUCACUAUAUAUAACCCAACCGAACACCCUUGGAUACAAAAAGGAAAACUCUAAACAUCUCGAUACUUUAAUAGCACCUCCUAAGAAAAUUAGUAGCCAAACUGAUGUCAAACCUUUAAAAGUACGAUGGUAGAUUCAAGAAAGAUCUGGAAGCAAUUUAGUGCUCAAUAUGGCAAGAGUUUAAGAUUAUUCUCGCAGAUCAAAAUGGAACAAAAAUACAUGCAACAUUUUUUUGUAAAAGGCCUUCAAAAGAUACAUGCAACAUUGAAACAUAUUUCUUGAUUGAAUUCAUUGGACAAGCCAUGGACGUUGGUGAAAUUAAUCCUUUGUUGUGGAAAAGAGAUAACAAAAAAUAGAGUUCAAUCAUAGAGAUUAUGGGUUUUUUUAACUAAUACUGUCAUAUUUUUAUCCCUGUUGUAUAGUGUAUCCAUCUUGAGAUGGAUUUGAUAUUGCAAGCAGUACUAACAAUAUCAAAAAUAUUGUUUUAGUGAUAACUUUUUCCACUAAGUUA